UACGUAGGGUGCAGGCGUUAAUCGGAAUUACUGGGCGUAAAGCGUGCGCAGGCGGUUUGCUAAGAGAGAUGUGAAAUCCCCGGGCUUAACCUGGGAACUGCGAUGGAGACUGCAAGGCUAGAGUCUGGCAGAGGGGGGUAGAAUUCCACGUGUAGCAGUGAAAUGCGUAGAUAUUGGGAGGAACACCAGUGGCGAAGGCGGCUCACUGGACCGGAACUGACGCUGAGGCGCGAAAGCGUGGGGAGCAAACGGG
rnacentral:rRNA from 1 species